rnacentral:rRNA from 1 species
GAUGAACGCUGGCGGCGUGCCUAAUACAUGCGAGUCGAGCGAACAGACGAGAGUGCUUGCACUCUCUGACGUUAGCGGCGGACGGGUGAGUAACACGUGGGUAACCUACCUAUAAGACUGGGAUAACUUCGGGAAACCGGAGCUAAUACCGGAUAAUAUUUAGCUUCGCAUGAAGCAAUAGUGAAAGACGGUUCUGCUGUCACUUAUAGAUGGACCCGCGGUGUAUUAGCUAGUUGGUGAGGUAACGGCUCACCAAGGCAACGAUACAUAGCCGACCUGAGAGGGUGAUCGGCCACACUGGGACUGAGACACGGCCCAGACUCCUACGGGAGGCAGCAGUAGGGAAUCUUCCGCAAUGGACGAAAGUCUGACGGAGCAAUGCCGCGUGAGUGAAGAAGGUUUUCGGAUCGUAAAACUCUGUUGUAAGGGAAGAACAAGUACGUUAGUAACUGAACGUACCUUGACGGUACCUUAACAGAAAGCCACGGCUAACUACGUG